rnacentral:rRNA from 1 species
AACGAACGCCGGCGGCAGGCCUAACACAUGCAAGUCGAGCGCCGUAGCAAUACGGAGCGGCAGACGGGAGAGUAACACGUGGGAACGUACCCUUUGGUUCGGAACAACCCAGGGAAACUUGGGCUAAUACCGGAUAAGCCCUCACGGGGAAAGAUUCAUCGCCGAAGGAUCGGCCCGCGUCUGAUUAGCUAGUUGGUGGGGAAAUGGCCCACCAAGGCGACGACCAGUAGCUGGUCUGAGAGGAUGAUCAGCCUCACUGGGACUGAGACACGGCCCAGACUCCGACNNNNNGCAGCAGUGNGGANUAUUGGACAAUGGGCGCAAGCCUGAUCCAGCCAUGCCGCGUGGGUGAUGAAGGCCCUNGGGUUGUAAAGCCCUUUCGGCNGNGAAGAUAAUGACNGUACCCGCAGAAGAAGCCCCGGCUAACUUCGUGCCAGCCGCCGCCGUAAAA